GAUUGUCUUAUAUUCCUAGAGUCUUUGGGAGAUGUUCUCCUUUCAUAUAUAUUAUGUGUGUCUUUUUGUUGUACAUGGUCCUAAUAAACUCUUUAGUUGUAUUCUUAAGAGAUUCUUCAAAUGUGCUUUGAAUGCCUUAUAAUAGUCAUUUAAUUUAUUCAAUAAAUUUUCUAUAGUCAAUUGUUGCUUUGUCUAUCAAACAUUGGAUUUUUUGGUAUGUGUUUUGAUCAAGUCUCGUUCUUGAUAUUGAUGGUGUUGGCAAAAUUAUAUUUAAGGCCAUUCCUAGGAUUUGCAAUAGUAGCAACCAGAUCUAACUUUGUAUCUCUUCUUUUGUAACUAGUUACUUUUGUAGAGAUGGUAAGUGGUUGAUUAUCUUUGCUUAUAAUAUAAAUUUAUUUCUAGUAUCUUUAGUUGUCUGAUUGUUUGUUUGAUCCAUAG
rnacentral:lncRNA from 1 species